GCUAAAAGCCUCCACGUGGAAAGAAAUCCCCAAAUGUUACAAAUGGAGAUUAACGACCAGAAAGCAGCCCGAGCAGCAGCGAAAUGCGAAAUCUCCCUCUUCUGCGUUCCCUGCUGUUGAUUUAUAUUUUAUUUUUAACUACAAUCUCACAGAGACGCAGCGCCGGGAAAUCACGACCAGAUGUACUCAAAGAGGCUCUCUGCUUUCGGCUAACAUCUCUUUUAAACACAUCAAGAAAAAGAAAGGAUUGGAAAUAGUUCGGUUUGCUUGUUUAUUUAAGUACAGACGCGACUGCGAAGAGUCGGGGCAAAACGGCAGCGCAGCUGCGCGGGAGUCGUUCUGAAAAUAGAGCGUACGGAGCUGCGCCUCUUAGGGCUGAGACUGCGCCGUGUGCUGAGCUGCACCCGGGGAGGAGGGAGCCAGCCGGCGGCCCAGCUCUAUGCUCUUCAUUUUGCUCUGCAGAAACAGCUCUAGGUUUGGCCAGGAGCAGGAAAGGAAUGCGUUUAUCCUGCGCUGGGCUGCGCGUAAAGUGGGCGCUGUGGGAUGCCGUGUUUCUGCGCCUCGGCUCCUUCUUCUCUGGAAAGAGUAGCAAAGAUCUGACUGUAAAAGCAGGUUUGCAGGCAGACAGGAAGGACUGCCCCUGAGAAGUAAAGGGGCUUUUAUUUCCAGGAGCACAUUGGGCCCAGAGAGAGGAGGAUGAAAGGGUGCAGUCCCUGGCUUGAUGUGAUGAUGGUGGCUUGAAGAAGAAUGACAGUGUUAUGGAUGCAUUGGGCUGGAUCUGUGCUGUCCUGAUCCUGAGAUCAAGUGUCAUGGCAUGCCUUGGGUCCCCAGACUACAUCCUCUGCUCCUCCAAAGCAGUGUCCUGAUAUCAACCAGGAAUAGUCCCCAGUCUUUGCUAUCUUUGUGAGUGCUCACUCUGCUAGGGAGUGAGCUAACAGUGAGAACUACAAACAAGCAUUUGCCUAAGCCUGUCUGCUUUACCUUGCUGAUACACACAUGGCCAAGAAUGCCAAGCCAUGUGGACCAUUUGCGCUGGACAAGGGACUGCCAAGCCAUCUGUGACCUGGUGCUGAGAAGCUUGCUAAAGAGAGUGGUCCCACCUCCCACUGGGUGCCUUCCCUUACAAUAUCCAGUUAGCUGUGUCUUCUUCGCUUCCCUGUAGGGAUGUCCUUUUCCUGUCUGUGCCAUGGUGUAUACUGACAUGAAACAGCAAAAAAGCCUCUCCAAGACCAGACAGUUGGAAGAAGACAUGAGUGAUGGUUUAUCUGACCUACUUGAUAUGACAGUUACCCCCUGAAUGCAUGGGAAUUGUUGAGUUGAUAUCUAAUGGCUUUCAGGGGAGCAUGGGAUACAAAGGCUUGUCAUAGAUGUCUCCACUUAGUUUGAUGAAUCCCUCCCAAGUAAAUGUGAGAGGAGAAUAAUGCAGGAGAGGAGAUAAAAAGAUCACUGAGACAUUCUCUUGAGACUCACCUCAGGGCUACACCUUCAGCUCUUUUAGCCCAGCUCUCCAGUAACCUCUCCAAUUAAAUCAAGACUUCAGCUUCCUCUGGGUUUACAUGGAUUUGCAAAGUGUGAUAUGGAAAUUUUCCUGCAGCAAGUCCACUUAUCGCUCCAAUUUCAGCUAACUGCAGUGUAGAUUUUAUUAUUCAUAGCCAGAGGCCUGCGUACAUUUCUAGGUUGACUUCUCAUGUCUUCAUAAGGACAGAAUGUGGGCUGCAGUGUUCAGGUUUCACAAAGAAUUACUGAGGGAACUGGCUUGCCU
rnacentral:lncRNA from 1 species